UACGUAGGGGGCUAGCGUUGCUCGGAAUUACUGGGCGUAAAGGGCGCGUAGGCGGCGGUCACAGUCAGAUGUGAAAUUCCUGGGCUUAACCUGGGGGCUGCAUUUGAUACGUGGUUGCUUGAGUGGGGAAGAGGGUCGUGGAAUUCCCAGUGUAGAGGUGAAAUUCGUAGAUAUUCGCAAGAACACCAGUGGCGAAGGCGGCUCACUGGCCCGAUACUGACGCUGAGGUGCGAAAGCGUGGGGAGCAAACAGG
rnacentral:rRNA from 1 species